GCUCAGCUAUUUAAAAAAUGUUGAAUAUCAACAAUGGCUUUCACUGGGGCAUUGUCAACUUUUGUAUGAAGCAAUCUUGGCUGAAUGCGAUGGCUCCCAGUGCAGGGAGGGCUCGGCUCAGCGCUGCUGCGGAAUGGAAGACUGCCGCUCGCCUGCCCUUCUGUCUCUCGUCUCGGCAUGGUGACAUGGUUUGAGAGUCUUACCUGGCUCUCUUCAGCUAAACAGUCUUCAGGACCCUAAAGAUGCAGAGGGAAGGAUUAUGAAGAACGGCUGUGCAAUGGUACAAGUGCUUAUCUUUUCUCGGACUGUAUGAUACCAUGACAAAACAGUUAAACAACAGGCUGUGGACACCAGUGGAAGACACAGGCUGUAGUCUUCAACAGUGAAUUACCUGUAGUACAUUUGCCUGUAGGUCUUAUACCACCAUGAUGGCACAGUUACUGGUCCACCCCACUUCUAUAUUUAAAUGGGUUGAGCUCAACAAAACAGGUGAGCCAGACGUGUAUAUUCAGUGUUCAUUUGAUAUCACUCUGUUUGUCUUUUGUGUAAAGGGUUUCUGUUCCUGUUUGCUUUUGUUAGGGACACUGAGCCCCCCUCUUACCGGGAUCAUCUGUCUGCCUGGUGGACGAGCUGCGUCCUGCCCACUGCACCCAAUUCACAUAGAAAUUUACUCAAAUACUACAGAGGGUUUCAGGAGGAAGGAUUGCUGGAAGAGAUCAGCGGGACUCACUGAGUGGGCAGAGAAAAAUAGCCAGGCCAGUGAAGAUGGAUGGGUGACAGUCCCAUUGGUCACAGCGAUUCAGCACUCAGUCACCACGGAGACAAGCAGUGAAACCAGGAAUGCUGAAAGCCAAAUGAUUUGUGCUGUGAAAAAAAUUUAUAUUUUAGAUAAUUUUCUUAAACAUAAUUUAAUUUAUCAUGUAAAGUAAUGGAGCUUAAGCACAUUAAAUAAAUGCUCACCAUCAAAAUGGUGAUGUGAUAAG
ensembl:lncRNA